GCGCCAGUAAUCUAGCCUGGUAGGAUAUCAGCUUCCCAUACAAAACUGGAAAAAGCUGAAUGCCCGGGUUCAAAUCCCGGUUGGCGCA
rnacentral:tRNA from 1 species